rnacentral:tRNA from 1 species
GGGGUUAUAGCUCAGUUGGGAGAGCGCUUGCAUGGCAUGCAAGAGGUCAGCGGUUCGAUCCCGCUUAGCUCCAUCA